AUUGAACGCUGGCGGCAGGCUUAACACAUGCAAGUCGAACGGUAACAGGAGAAAAGCUUGCUUUUCUUGCUGACGAGUGGCGGACGGGCGAGUAAUGCUUGGGAAUCUGCCUUAUGGAGGGGGAUAACUACGGGAAACUGUAGCUAAUACCGCGUAAUAUCUUCGGAUUAAAGUGUGGGACCUUCGGGCCACAUGCCAUGAGAUGAGCCCAAGUGAGAUUAGGUAGUUGGUGAGGUAAAGGCUCACCAAGCUGACGAUCUCUAGCUGGUUCGAGAGGAUGACCAGCCACACUGGAACUGAGACACGGUCCAGACUCCUACGGGAGGCAGCAGUGGGGAAUAUUGCACAAUGGGCGCAAGCCUGAUGCAGCCAUGCCGCGUGAAUGAAGAAGGCUUUCGGGUUGUAAAGUUCUUUCAGUGGUGAGGAGGGGUUAAUAUCUAAUAGGUAUUAACAUUGACGUUAGCCACAGAAGAAGCACCGGCUAACUCCGUGCCAGCAGCCGCGGUAAUACGGAGGGUGCGAGCGUUAAUCGGAAUAACUGGGCGUAAAGGGCACGCAGGCGGUUGUCUAAGUCAGAUGUGAAAGCCCCGAGCUUAACUUGGGAAUUGCAUUUGAGACUGGGCGACUAGAGUCCUCUAGGGAGGGGUAGAAUUCCACGUGUAGCGGUGAAAUGCGUAGAGAUGUGGAGGAAUACCGAAGGCGAAGGCAGCCCCUUGGGGAGAGACUGACGCUGAGGUGCGAAAGCGUGGGUAGCAAACAGG
rnacentral:rRNA from 1 species